GCUCUUUUCCUCCUCUGGGGAGGGGAGAAAAGAGGAAGAGGAGAGAGAGGAAGAGGAGUGGACCGCCGCUGUCACUGGAGGCGGCGGUGGCUGCUGACACUGAAUAGAUUGGCUCACUGUUCGCUGCACAAUGACUCAAUGAAAAGUGGAGGGGAGAGGCAAGUGCACUGUACAGCUGCAACACAGAGAGAGAGAGACACACACACAGGGGAGCAGAGGAAAAGAAACCAACUGGAGGAGCUGGGGGACAAGUAGAAGAAGAAGAUACACUUGUCCUUUUCCCCUCUCUUUAUCUCAGUGAGAUUCCUCUCUGGGAUCAAGUGGCGAUUGUUCAGCUCCAGCUGAACUUCACCCACAUCCUCCUGCCUCUGCUGCCCACUUUCACAAACAAGCAGACAAGUGUCGGUGUGGCGACAGGAGGAGGGAAUCGGGUCCGGAUCAACCUGGAGAGCCGUGGAGGACAGCAGGAUGCCAGCGGGGAGAAGAAAGGAUGGAGCCGGGUCGGCGGCGGGUCUGUGGACGAUGCUGGCGUGGGCGGUCCUGGUGGGUCCGGGAGGCGCUGAAGCGUGUCCGGCUCCCUGCAGCUGCCUGGGGAGCACGGUGGACUGCCACGGCCGGGGAAUCCACUCCGUCCCCAAAAACAUCCCCAGAGGGACUGAGAGGCUCGAUCUGAACGAGAACAACCUGACGGUCAUAACCAAGACAGAUUUCUCUGGUCUUAAACACCUCAGAGUUCUUCACCUGAUGGAGAACAAGAUCAGCAGCAUUGAAAGAGGAGCCUUUGAUGAGCUGAAGGAGCUGGAAAGACUGCGUCUUAACAGAAAUCGUCUCAGCCAGCUUCCAGAGCUGCUGUUUCAGAAGAACGAAGCUCUGUCUCGACUGGAUCUGAGUGAAAAUGCCAUCCAGGCCAUCCCACGGCGAGCGUUCAGAGGAGCCACAGACAUCAAAAACCUUCAGCUGGAUAAAAACCACAUCACCUGUAUAGAGGAGGGAGCGUUCAGAGCUCUGCGGUCCCUGGAAGUGCUCACGAUGAACAACAACAACAUCAGCAGCAUCCCCGUCUCCAGUUUCAACCACAUGCCGAAACUGCGAACCUUCCGGCUCCACUCCAACGCGCUGCGCUGUGACUGUCACCUGGCCUGGCUGUCGCCAUGGCUACGGCAGCGGUCUGCGCUGGGCCUCUACACGCAGUGCAGUUCCCCUCCGGCUCUGCGGGGGCUCAACCUCGCAGAGCUGCGCAAGAGUGACUUCGCCUGCUCAGCCCACAGCGGCAGCGCCUUCGUUCAGCCGUGCAGUUUGGCGUCCGGUUCUUGUCCUCCGAUGUGUUCCUGCAGCAACAACAUUGUGAACUGCAGAGGAAGGGGCCUCACCGCCAUACCUGCCCACCUGCCGGAGGCCAUGACGGAGAUUCGUCUGGAGCAGAACGGCAUCAAGUCAGUUCCUCCUGGUGCGUUCACCUCCUACAAGAAGCUCCACCGCAUAGACCUGAGCAACAAUCAGAUAUCUGAGAUUGCUCCUGAUGCAUUUCACGGCCUCCGAGCGCUCAAUUCGCUCGUUCUGUAUGGGAAUAAAAUCACUGAGCUGCCCAGUGGAGUAUUCGAUGGCUUGGUUUCUCUGGAGCUGCUAUUGCUGAAUGCAAAUAAAAUCCACUGUAUCCGUGCAGCAGCGUUCAAAGACCUGGAAAACCUUGCCCUUCUUUCUCUGUACGACAAUAAGAUCCAAAGUCUGGCUAAGGGAACCUUUAGCUCACUGCACAGCAUCCAGACACUCCACCUGGCCCAGAACCCGUUUGUCUGUGACUGUCAUGUGAAGUGGCUGGCUGACUUCCUGGGUUCAAACCCCAUCGAGACCAGCGGAGCUCGCUGCGCCAGCCCUCGUCGGCUCGCCAACAAACGCAUCGCUCAGAUCAAGAGCCACAAGUUCAGAUGCUCCGCCAAGGAGCAGUACCACAUCCCAGGCACUGAAGAUCGACGCCUGAGCUACGAGUGUAACAGUAAGCCUGUAUGUCCUGCUAAAUGUCGCUGUGAGGCCAAUGUGGUGGACUGCUCCAAUCUGCGCCUCACCAAGUUCCCAGAGCACCUGCCGCCCUCCACCGAAGAGCUGCGUCUUAACAACAAUGACCUGUCCAUGCUGGAGGCCACUGGCGCCUUCAAGGGUCUUUCUCAUAUAAAGAAAAUUAACCUGAGCAACAACAAGAUUUCGGAGAUCGAGGACGGUGCAUUUGAGGGCGCCUCGUCAGUGGGGGAACUUCACCUGACAGCCAACCACCUGGAGUCGGUGCGAGGGAGCAUGUUCAGAGGCAUGGAGGGGCUGCGCAUGCUGAUGCUAAGGAACAACAGGAUCAGCUGCAUCCAUAACAGCAGCUUCACAGGGCUGCCCAACGUCAGGCUGCUCUCCCUCUACGACAACCAGCUCACCACCAUCCUGCCUGGAGCCUUCGACACUCUGCCCAACCUCUCCACUCUAAACCUGCUGGCCAACCCCUUUACCUGCGACUGCCACCUGUCCUGGUUCGGGGCGUGGCUCCGGAGCCGCCGGAUCGUGACGGGGAACCCUCGGUGCCAGAGCCCGGCUUUCCUGCGAGGGAUUCCUCUGCAGGACGUAGCGGUCCCUGAUUUCCGCUGCGAGGAUGGUUCUGUGCUGGAGGACAGGAGCUGCGUAGCGGGGCCUCAGUGUCCCAGUCAGUGUUCCUGCAUGGACACAGUGGUUCGCUGCAGCAACAAACACCUGCAGGCUCUGCCCAGAGGAUUACCACGUAACAUCACCGAACUGUACCUGGAUGGAAACCAGUUCACCAGCGUCCCUAAGGAGUUAGCCAGCUUCAAGUACCUGCAGCUUGUAGAUCUGAGCAACAAUAAAAUCAACUCGCUGUCCAAUGACUCCUUCUCCAACAUGAGCCAACUCACAACUCUGAUCCUCAGCUACAACUCGUUACAAUGUAUCCCUCCUCUAGCUCUGGCCGGCCUGCGCUCCCUAAGACUGCUCUCUCUCCAUGGCAACGACAUCUCUGAGCUGCAGCAGGGAAUCUUCAGUGACCUGGCCUCCCUGUCUCACCUAGCAAUCGGAGCCAACCCUCUGUACUGUGACUGCCGGCUGCUCUGGCUGUCAGACUGGGUGAAGAGCGGCUAUAAGGAGCCGGGCAUCGCACGCUGCGCCGGCCCACGGGGCCUGGAGGGCAAGCUGCUGCUCACCACACCUGCUGACAAGUUCCAGUGUCUGGGUCCAGUGGACAUUUCUGUUCAGGCCAAAUGCACUCCAUGCGUUUCCUCCCCUUGCCAGAACCAGGGAACCUGCCAAAUCCACCAAUCCCAGCAGUACACCUGCGCCUGCAAGUCGGGUUUUACGGGUAAACACUGCGAGACUCCAGUCGAUGCUUGUGUCAGCAAUCCCUGCACCAAUGGAGGAAGCUGCCUGAGAGACGAGCAGACAGGAGGCUUCAGCUGCGCGUGUGCAUUUGGUUUCCAUGGCACAUUUUGUGAGGUCAACGUGGACGACUGCGAAGAUCACGGAUGUGACAAUGGCGCCACCUGUGUCGAUGGAGUCGGCAACUACACCUGCUUGUGUCCUCCUAACUACAGAGGUCUGCUUUGUGAAGAGGAGGAUGAUGUUUGUUCUCCAGGUAGAAAUCCUUGUCAGCAUCAGUCCACCUGCAUCAGCAGUCCUACAGGCCCCAGGUGUGUGUGUAUCCCCGGCUGGGUGGGACCAGACUGCGGCAUCGACUACAACGAGUGCGCGGAUCACCGCUGUCAGAACUCAGCUCAGUGCAUCGACCAUCUGGACGGUUACAGCUGCGUCUGCCCGCAGGGAUUCAGUGGCGAGUUUUGUGAGGUGACAGAUCUUCAGCAGACACCCUGCCAGAUGGCCAAGUGUCAGAAUGGCGCUCCCUGUAACGACAAGUUGGGGACCGCAAUCUGUCAGUGUCCGCCCGGCUUUGAGGGCCAGAGUUGCGAGAAGCUGGUUAGCGUCAACUUUGUGGACAAAGAUUCUUACGUCGAACUUCAGGAUGUGAAAAACUGGCCUCAGUCCAACAUCACGUUGCAGGUGUCAACUGCGGAAGAUAAUGGCAUCUUGCUGUACAAUGGAGAUCAUGAGCCGAUCGCUGUAGAGCUCCAUCAGGGUCAUGUAAGGGUCACCUAUGACCCUGGGAACCAGCCUGCCACCGCUAUUUACAGCUCUGAGACGGUAAACGAUGGUAAUUUCCACACGGUUGAGCUGGUGACCUUUAAUCAGAUGGUGAACCUGUCUGUGGAUGGAGGAGAGCCAACGACUCUGGACAGCCAAGGCCGCGGCCAGCCGCUGACUGGAGAGACGCCUCUUUACGUGGGAGGUAUGCCUGAGGAGGUUAUACCGACUUCUCGAGGCCUCUCCUCUCAGAGUCUCAACACGUCCAGUUUCCACGGCUGCAUCAGGAACCUCUACAUAAACCAUGAGCUGCAGGACUUUACCCGGAGCCAAAUGAAGCCGGGGGUUGUACCGGGCUGCCAACCCUGCCGCAAACUUUACUGCCUGCAUGGCAUAUGCCAACCCAACAGUGCGCAGGGCCCCCAGUGCCACUGCCAGCCAGGUUGGACAGGUCAACACUGUGACCAGCCAAUCACUGUAGGCCUCAGUGGAGGCGACGUCGUCACCAUGGCGAAUGGUAUCAACCCCUGUGAGGGAAACAAGUGUGUGAAGGGCGCCUGCAUGGUGCUGGAUGCUCAGACCUACCGCUGUGAGUGUGAGAAGGGAUUCAGAGGAGCGCUGUGUAACCUGCAGGAGGAGCCCGCCGGCUCGUGUCACAGGCUGCAGUGUCUUCACGGCCGCUGUCAAAAGACGGAGGACGGAGAGAGCUGUGUGUGCGAGCAGGGAUACACUGGAGAGAUCUGCGCUACAGAGACCCCAUGUCGAGGUGAGCCGGUCAGAGACUACCACCGGCUGCAGCGCGGCUCCAUUCUCUGCCAGACAUCAAAACCGUUCUCCUGGGUCGACUGUCGGGGUCACUGUCGGGCUGAAGCCGAGCGGGGAGCCACCGCCGUUUCCUGCUGCGCCCCUCUGAGGGUCCGGCGGCGGCGGAUCACCUUCGAAUGCGACGACGGCACCUCGUUUACGCAGGAUGUGGAGAAACCUGUGGAAUGUGGCUGCAAGGAGUGUGUGUAACUAUGAGGAAGGGAAGAUGAACACUUUCCCACAGGUAGACCGCUUGAAACCAGAACCCAACGCCAGCAGGUAGACCGCUUGAAACCAGAACCCAACGCCAGCAGGUAGACCGCUUGAAACCAGAACAUGCUGACGUUGGGUUCUGGUUUCUAAUGGUCUACCCAACUGGCGUUGGGUCUACCAAGCGGUCUACUCAACGCCAGCAGGUAGACCGUUAGAAACCAGAACCCAAACCGGCUCCAGGUACGAUCGCCACAGGAGGAAUCUUGCUUUCAUUUUUUCGAUAUUUGCCUCACCAGCUGUUUUGAGACGUUUCUUCAUCAACCAGUCGACCUCGUCCUCCUCACCUGCAGAACCCCUUAGUGCAGAGGUGUCCAAAGUGUGGCCUGUGGGCCAUUUGCAGUCCAUGCUUUUAAUAAGUUUAUUGGACAAAUAUUAAAUUUUUCAAUAAAAGUAACCUAAAAAUUGCUUUUAUUGCUCAAAGUUGACAAAGAAGUUUUAUUAUUUUCAGUCGAGACUUUUAAAAGUUCUUUUAAUGAGACAAAUAUUUUGGAUUCCAACAACAAGAAUCCACUUUAAUCAUUUGGUUUAGUUUAAUAAAAAUGUCAAAAUGUAUUUUGAUUGACGAUUUUGGCCCAUGUGACAGAAGUUUGGACACCCCUGCCUUUGUGUCGCACACCAACAAAUACAGCGCUGGAAAAAAUGAAGAGACCACUUAAGAUGAUCAGUUUCUCUGAUUUUACUGUUUAUAGGUUUAUGUUUGUGUAAAAU